rnacentral:rRNA from 1 species
UACAGAGGUCUCAAGCGUUGUUCGGAUUCAUUGGGCGUAAAGGGUGUGUAGGUGGCGCCGUAAGUCGGGUGUGAAAUUUCGGAGCUUAACUCCGAAACUGCAUUCGAUACUGCGGUGCUUGAGGACUGGAGAGGAGACUGGAAUUCAUGGUGUAGCAGUGAAAUGCGUAGAGAUCAUGAGGAAGACCAGUGGCGAAGGCGGGUCUCUGGGCCGAAACUGACGCUGAGGAGCGAAAGCGUGGGGAGCGAACAGG